rnacentral:rRNA from 1 species
AUGGCGUCCGGCUUCGGGUUCCCGAUACUGUCACCAGCGGAGAUCGCGGAGCAGCUGUUCCAGUACGGGAUCGCCCCCAUCGCCAACCUCCGCCCCGAGAACAUCGCCAGCCCGCAGCCUGACUUGCUCCCUGGCGUCCUCGCCCGCUUCUUCGACUCCUUCGUCGAUGCCCCCGGGGACGGCGAGGAUGGGCUGCUAGGGUUCAGCGACCUGGAGGUGCUGGACAACCCGGAGCACCACGCGGAGGCCAUCCGGGUGCUACGCCUCUACAACAAGUCGCAGGCCUUCCUCGACUCCAUCCAGUUCAAGGACUUCACGCUCGCCGACUUCACCCGCCCCACCCCGCGCCGCGUCGUCGAGGUCCUCAGCGCCCUCAUCAACUUCCUCUUCUACAGGGAGGAGAAAGUCACCCUCCUGCAGCCCAUCGUCAGCGAGACCCCCGACUACCACGAGCGCACUCUGGAGCUCAAGGCCAGGAUGACCCAGCUUCAGAAGGAGAUCGCGGAUCAUGAGCUCGCAGAGCAGAUGGAGGAGCCCAUGGCCCAGCAGCUGGAAGCAGACGUCAAUGCUCUGCAGCAGAAAGUUCAGGUUUACAACAAGCAGCAACUGGCCCUGCGAGCAAAGGCCGCAGCCAUCAAUGACAAGAAAGAGGAGAUUCACAGGAAGAUAACCCAGGCUGAUUUUGAGUUGACUAAACAUGCCCAAGAAAACUCCAGAUUGAUGUCCAAAUUAGUAAAGUCCCCAGAAAAAGUUCAGAGGGCCUUGGAAGAGAAGAAAUCAGCCCGUGCUAAGUUGAAAGAGUCUGAGAAAAUAGCAAUGCAAAAUGAUCAAGAGAAAUCUGCCACUUUGGAGAUACGCAAUAAGGCUCAUGAAAAACUGACGAAGCAACACUCUAAAAUCCAGGAUGUACAUGAACAGCUUGUUGCUGCUAAAACAGUUGAAAAGGAAGUUAAAGCUCGCAAAGCGAAGCUUAAUGAUGAAAGUGUAUCAGUUAUGUCAUUUGACGCACAGAUUGUUGAUUGGCAAGGAAAAGUACAUGAAAUGGAGGAGCGUCUCAAGGGGAAAGUGAAAGAAAGGAAUCAAAUAAUAGCAGAUGAAAAUCAGAAGCUGGGCGCUUUGAGCUCCGAGAUUGAGGGUAAACUGCAGUGCCUUGAACCUAGAGAAAAGAAAGUAGAGGCAACGAUCGCUAAGGCUUCAAAUUUGUGUUCGGAAGCUGCUUCAGCAAGGACUGCUGCCACAGCAGAACAGCAGAAAAUUCGUUCAAAAUUCAACAGCAUUGUGAAGGCGUUCAACACCUACAUGGAUAGCGUCGACCCUUUCCUCGAGGGAGUUGAGGAGGUUGGCAGGCAAUCGGCAGGGGAAGGCGCCUCUGCCCCUGAUCCAUCUGCCGCCGUCACAACAAAAACCACACCGAGAGCCAGCGCAAUGAGCAAGAAGAGGGCUAGGAAAAGGACAUGA